CGCCCAGUGAGUCUGAGAGGGGGUUUGGGAAGAAUCAGGAGACUCCCAGACAGUGCCAUGUGACAGUGAAGCGUCUGGCCCCAAUCUGCCAGGGUGAAAGCCCCAGGACUGCUGGUGUGAUGUUGGCUACAACAGAAUGGCAGAGAGGAAAGGAAGCUCCGGGAUCUUCCAUUUCAGCCAGCCCAUUUUACUGAGGUGGAGCCUACCCAGCCAAGGAGAAGGCUGCCAGAGGGCCUGGCUCCCUGAUCCUGCUGGUGGCAUUUGCUGAUCAAAAGAACGGACUGUUUCCACCUCCCGGAUGCAAACUCUUUCUUCAGCCAGACAGAGAUCAGACAGCCUCUGGUGUUGAAUCCCUGAUCUGCCACUUCACCAGCUGUGCCAUCUUGGACAAGAUAUGGAGCUCUCUGAACCUAAAUGCUCAGAUGGGGUGAACAUGAGUGGGCUUCCUUCAGGGCUGGGUGAUAGGAUGGCAUGAGACCCGCCUGGUAAAACGCACAGUGAACACUCACUGACUUUCUCCUUUCCCUCUGUCCAGGGAAACCUCUCAUUCCCGGGGGCACGUUCAGUGUUGGUCAGGACCCAGACCUUCUUCCUCAGCCUCCACUUGCCAUCCCCACCCACAUCCUGUCUUACUUCACAGGAGGGCUCAUCCCGUGAGCCCCAUGUGUACUGGGUUCCGUCCAGGAUGUGGUCCAGCAAAUCCACCACACGCAGGUGGGGGCCGUGUCCUGGCCCCCAGGUUGAGUCUAAGUAAGGCUGUCCACGCUCAGUAUUUGAGGCCAGAUAAUUCUCAGUGGGGUGAAGUGGAGGGGUGACCUGUGCACUGGAGGAUACUGAACGGUGUUCCUGGCCUCCACCCACCAGGUGAGAGCAGCAGCCCCAGCCCCAGGCUUGGAAAAGGUUUCCAGAGAUUGCCAACUGUCCCCUGGAGGUGAAAUUGCUGCUGCACAGGAACCAUGAAGAACUAAGACACGGAGAACCUCCUGGAGCUAAUGGUCCACAGGGGCCCCUCCUGUGUGGACACAGACACCUCGGUACACAAACCUGGAGGACCCAGGAGGACCAAGCUGAAGGAGGGCAUCACCUUCCAUCUGGGGGUCUUAUCCCCCUCCCCCGACACUUAAACUUGAAGGUGGA